UAUCGAUGCUGUUUCCGUAAUUUGCGACAUAGAUUUACGACCUCGGCGCCAUCUUGAAAGCGUCAAUAUGAGGUAGCUAGUCGCUACGUCACCAUUUUGAGAAGGUCAGAGAGGGUCCUAGGGUUGAAGUUGAUCUCAAAGGUAAUCCUGAAGAGAGCAGAAAGUGAGAGUCUUCUUCUAAACCACACCUCGGACCAGAGUCUCUCACGGGGAUUUCUUGCAGACAACAGAGGAUGAAAAGGACUCCGUAGACUGGACAGGUGGUGGUUGAACCUGGCAUGUUGGGGCACAGGGUGUGAUCCUAAAUCCAGUAACAACAUCUUGGUGGAAGAGAAAUUAUAUACACUGUUUGCAUGUGGGAACCCCUGGAAGCCACAAGAGGGUGUCAGAUUCCCUGGAAUUGGAGUUACAGGACAUUGUAAGCUACCAUAUUCGUGCUAGGAAUCAGACCAGUGUCCUCUGAAAGAACAGCUCCAUGCUUUGGUGAAUUCUCCCUUGGGGCCCCAGCGUGGCUCCAGAUUUUUGACCUUCCAGUUUAGAAGCCCCAGCUGGGCCAGAGCUUCCUUUUCUCACAGCUGUCUUAAUUACCGCUACAUCUCUGACCAAAAAUCAUCGGAGAGGUCAAGGAGUGGAGUGCCCUGAUUGGUUAGAGUCAGUGUUUACCGGAAGUGGCCCUAAAUUCGUCCUGCCUGGAUCCUGUGGGCUGAUGGAAGGCAAAAGUGUCCCCAAAGGACCGUCCAAAAGACCGAACCUCAGCACAAAGAUUCUGUGUGCCCACAGACAGUGGUCUGACAUGCAGUAGGUGUUCAUCAAAUCUUGAGCUCUCUCCAACUGCCUUCCCUACAUCUCUGUUCACCGGCCUUUGCCUGAGGUAAGAUGGGAAUGCUACUGAACAGGCUUCCCGUUCUGAAUCAGAUAUGCUUUGGAUGCAGCCAGCGCCUCUGCCCCAGCUAUAUCUAGGGACAAUCUGUGCCAGAGCAUGCUGCCCUGCAGACAGAAACAUCUGUCUAAUGGCCAAUGGCAACUAGGAACUACUGUCAUACAGCAGCCCCUGGGGUAGGCUGGCCUCAGACAGGCAAGGGGGAUGGGGUGGUAUAAAUUCUGCCACACUGUAGGCGGGGCAAACUCCAGCCCUACAGUCCUCAAAGGACAGUUGGGUCUGCCUAUUCCAGGGAACAGUCUGAGGCUUUCACAGUGGUGCACAGGCCUCCAGGCUCCCACCCAACAAAGCUAGUUCAAGUUGAGCCUUUAUCCACUGAGAUAUCUUGUCAAUCCCUAAAUCAAAUCAAGCUUUUGGAGAGAGAGAGAGAGAGAGACUAGAGAUCCUUUUCUCUUUUCUGGAGCCACACUCAUUUGUUCCUUAGGGAAGAAUAAGAGCAGAAAUGUAGCAUCCUUACCCACUGACCCAUCCUGCCAGCCCUGCAUCUCAAGGUCUGGAUUUUCCAGCUUUCAUAUUAACUAUAAACACUCCCAAAGCCAUCCUACCUCCUGGCUCCCCUCUCAUCCACUAACAUAUGUUUAAAUGGUGGCCACAGCCUGGAGGAGGUUUGGGCCCUGAGUAGCUGCAUGGAGAGGGUGACUUCACAUGAAUAGAAACCAACUCUGUCACUGUCCAGCCAUUGUGUACUUGGGCUCUGUUUGCUACAGCAGCCAGCCUUCGCCACUGUGAGCCAUGUUAGCACAUUGUUUUGUAAAGCACCUCCAUUUUGGCUAAACACUGGCAGUUUCCCCAAAACAAAGAAAUUUGGUUUCUAGAAAUAAAGCAACUUGGUUUUUGUUAUUUGUUUGUUGUGGAGAGGUUUUUUUGGGUCUCCAAAAAGAAAUGUAGUCCUGGAACUUGCUGUGUAGACCAGACUGACCUCAAACUCACAGAGACCCACCUGCCUCUGCUACUAAGUCCUGUGGCUUGGUUUUUCUUUAGACUCUUGCCCUCCCCACCCUACAACCCCAUUAUAAUGGCUGUCUAUAAGAGACACUUAUCUAUCACUAAGUGAUACUUAGUGAUACUUAGACACUUAAUAUCACAAAGUGAGUGACAUUCUUUAACUCACAAUUCACCCAUUUUCCGUAGCUAUAGCUAACAAUGCUCAGCCCCCUUCUCCUUUUCUGCCCUGCAACUAACUUACUGUGUAGGCAGGGGGCGCUGUUUUUUACACUACAGAUCCAGUCUAUGGGUCUCCUCAUCACAGGGCAUGUGUUCUCACAGAGUCGCUUGUCUAUCCUGGAAGAAGGCCACAUCAUUCAUGUUAGCUGUGUGCACAUCCUCCUCUCCAGCCAUCUCCACAGCCAUCACACCAGCCCCUGAUCAGUUUCCAGUGUAACCUCCCAAAGGCUCUACACCCCACAUCAAUUGUGUUACAGUCUGUUAUAGUCUGAGUGUGCAAAAGCUCCUGGGUUGGAACACUUGGUUUCCAGCUGGGGGUAUUGUUCUGUUUUGUUUUUGAUCUGGAUCUUACAUAGCACAGGCUAGCCUCAAAAAAAAAAAAAAUCAAUAUGUAGUGAGGGAUGACCUUUAUCUUUUGCUUUACCUCCCAAAUUCUGGAGUUACAGGUUUGUGCCACCACACCAGGCUGACACCGGCACUGUUCAGAGAGCAUGUGGAAAUUUUGGGACAUGCGGUCUAGCAGGCGUGUGUAGAGACUUGAGGUAGGGUCAUUAGAGACUCAUAGUCUGGCUCUGCUUCCCCAGUUUUCAUCUUUUUGUUCUGCUAAGAUGUAAGAAAGCAUUCUCCCACUCUUGCUGCCAUGUACUCAGCCCCUGCAGCCACCACCCCUUCCCCACUUUGACAGUUAAUCUUCGUUGUCAACUUGACUGGAUUUAGAGGGAGACACACCUCUGGCUGUUUCUUUGAGGGUGUUUCCAGCCUUGACUGACACGGAGACAGCCAUGCCCUAAACGUGGGUAGCACCAUCCCAUGGGCUGGGAUCUUGGACUGAAUCAAAAAGAAGGAAGUGAGCUGAGCACCAGCAUUCAUCUCUAUCUGUUCUUGACUUCCAUGACUUCCCAGGUGUACCCUCAAACUGUGAGCUAAAAUAAACCCUUCUUUUUUGAGCUGUUUUUGUCAGGUAUUUUGUCAUGGCAAUGUGAAAAAUAAUGAAUCCAUGCUUAGGUUGAAAUUUGUCAUUUUGCUUAUUGGUCUGCAAAAUUAAAGGGUUGACUAGACGUCUCUUAAUAUUUGCUUUCAUGAUUUUGGAGCUUAAUGAUCCAAGAGUUUUUUUUUUUUUCUUUAUAAUUUCUACACAUAAAUAUGUUGUUCAUGCAAAGUCUUCAUUUCCCCCUGCCACUACCUUCCAGUCUGUGUAUUGCUAUAGGCUUGCUUUUCUUCUUCACAAUAUCGUUCCUGUCAUUAAAAGCUCAGUUCAGAUGACACCUUCAUCAGGAAGCCUCGUUCCAAUGGGAGCAGUAUAUAACUGAACCUCUCUGUGUCUCUCUUGCUCACCCCUCUCUGUGUGUGUCUCCAUUUUUGUAUGUAUGUGGUCUAUGUACAGGUCUGUACAGGUCUGGCUGCCCAUGUAGGUUCAUAUGGAGGCCAGGGAUUAAUACUAGAAUGUCUUCCUCAAUCAUUCUCCACUGUAUUCUUUUUUUUUUUUUUUUUUGAGACAAGGUCUCUCCCUGAACCUGGAGCUCACUAGUCUAGGCUAGGAAAAAUGCCUGUUCCAG